rnacentral:rRNA from 1 species
GCUCUCUGUUUACAUAAAUAUAGGGAGUCGAGCCUGCCCAGUGAAUUUUUAAACGGCCGCGGUACUCUGACCGUGCAAAGGUAGCAUAAUCAUUUGCCUUAUAAUUGAAGGCUGGUAUGAAUGGUUUGACGAGAGCAACACUGUCUCCUUUUUAUUUUCAAGAACUUAACUUUUAGGUGAAGAGGCCUAAAUUUUAUUGAAGGACAAGAAGACCCUAUCGAGCUUAAAAGACAUUAUAGAAGUUUAUAUAUCUCUAAAUAAAUUUUCUAUUGAGCUUUUUAGUUGGGGCGACUAAGGAACAAAAAAAGCUUCUUGCUAAUAAUAGACAGUCAUGUUUAGAUCCGAUAAUAAUCGAUCAAAGAAAUUAGUUACCGUAGGGAUAACAGCAUAAUCUCUCUUGAGAGACCUAAUCGAAAGAGGGGGUUGUGACCUCGAUGUUGGACUAGAAUAUCCUAAAGAUGCAGAAGUCUUUGAAGGUCGGUCUGUUCGACCGUUAAAAUUCU